ensembl:lncRNA LINC02018 long intergenic non-protein coding RNA 2018
GGUAGAGUCCAGGUUGGCGGGUCCUGGGGCGGAGUCAGGAUAGGGCGAUCCUGGAAGCUGGGCUUCAGAAGCGUCCAGCUGGGGAAACUGAGUUACAGAGCUUUUCUGCACUGAGUCAUCAGGAGCAAAUGCUAGAUCAGAUAGGGUCUCUCUCUCUGCCACCCAGGCCAGAGUGCAGUUGACGCAGGGCAGGGGAGCCCCGAAGUGGAGCAUAGUGUGUCCGGAACUGGUGGGUUCUUGGUCUCACUGACUUCAAGAAUGAAGCCGUGGACCCUCACGGUUCAAGCGAUUCUCCUGCCUCAGCCUCCAGAGUAGCUGGAACUACAGAUGCGCACCACCACGCCCAGGCUGUGCUUCUCAGUGGCUCCCACCAGAUACCUGAUGGUCCUGUCGAUUUGCUGAAUCAUCAACUUCCUAUUCUCUGCCUCUGGCCUGAAUCGAUGUCCCACGUUAUCUGGCUCUCUGUAACACAGAGUCACAAAGUCAAAGUCUUCCUUGGUGAACCAGUUCAUGACAGUAUCGAUGUUCGCACUCCGCUCUGUCUCGUUGCUGUUUGGAGACAGGGUUUCACCAUGUUGGCCAGGCUUGUCUUGAACUCCUGACGUCGUGAUCUGCCUGCUUUGGCCUCCCAAAGUCCUGGGAUUACAGGCAUGAGCCACCGUACCCAGCCACUCUUGAUUAACUUAAUGGAAAUAUUUACAGAGAUUCUUUCUCUUCUGGGUUCUAGCGUCUUAUCUGUAACCUCUGCAGGGGAGUCACUGAGCAGAACGAAGCGAGUUGCCUGAGAUUCUUCAAAGCCCCAGCCCUUUUGGAGGUUACAUUGUUAUUCUCAGAGCCUUUAUGAUGCAUAAUAAAGACCUAGCUUGUACCAA